AGAUUGAACGCUGGCGGCAGGCCUAACACAUGCAAGUCGAACGGUAACAGGAAGAAGCUUGCUUCUUUGCUGACGAGUGGCGGACGGGUGAGUAAUGUCUGGGAAACUGCCUGAUGGAGGGGGAUAGCUACUGGAAACGGUAGCUAAUACCGCAUAACGUCGCAAGACCAAAGAGGGGGACCUUCGGGCCUCUUGCCAUCGGAUGUGCCCAGAUGGGAUUAGCUAGUAGGUGGGGUAACGGCUCACCUAGGCGACGAUCCCUAGCUGGUCUGAGAGGAUGACCAGCCACACUGGAACUGAGACACGGUCCAGACUCCUACGGGAGGCAGCAGUGGGGAAUAUUGCACAAUGGGCGCAAGCCUGAUGCAGCCAUGCCGCGUGUAUGAAGAAGGCCUUCGGGUUGUAAAGUACUUUCAGCGGGGAGGAAGGGAGUAAAGUUAAUACCUUUGCUCAUUGACGUUACCCGCAGAAGAAGCACCGGCUAACUCCGUGCCAGCAGCCGCGGUAAUACGGAGGGUGCAAGCGUUGAUCGGAAUUACUGGGCGUAAAGCGCACGCAGGCGGUUUGUUAAGUCAGAUGUGAAAUCCCCCGGGCUCAACCUGGGAACUGCAUCUGAUACUGGCAAGCUUGAGUCUCGUAGAGGGGGGGUAGAAUUCCAGGUGUAGCGGUGAAAUGCGUAGAGAUCUGGAGGAAUACCGGUGGCGAAGGCGGCCCCCUGGACGAAGACUGACGCUCAGGUGC
rnacentral:rRNA from 1 species